CCUGAACUCAGCAGUGACAUAGACAGCAGCAAUUUCGAUGACAUUGAAGAUGACAAAGGAGAUGUAGAAACCUUCCCAAUUCCUAAAGCUUUUGUUGGAAAUCAGCUGCCUUUCAUCGGAUUUACCUACUAUAGAGAAAAUUUAUUAUUAAGUGACUCUCCAUCUUGUAGAGAAAAUGAUUCAAUACAAUCAAGGAAAAAUGAAGAAAGUCAAGAGGUAUGUUGAUGUUGUCAGAUAUAUUGAAAAACUGAGAAAAGCUCAUCACUCUCGCAAAGUUUAAAUAUAGUCAUAUCCUACCUAGCAUUUGGAGUACUACAUCUACCCAAGAGAGAAGUUCCCAACCUUUCUUCUACCAAGUAUCUCUUUUAUUAUUGUUCUGUGGAUCUGUUUAAAAUAUAUAUUAUGUAAUUUUGUUUUUAUUUAUCAAGGACAUAUAACUGGCAGCAAUAAUUUCUGAUUAGCAUAUAAUAACUGGUAUGCUCAAAUUAUUGUAAUGCAGUAGUAGCCAAAAGCAAUUAAACUUGACUAGUUCAUUAGCCUGUAUAUUUUUAUUAAGGGAAAACAGAGUUUUGCUUAAGAUAGAUGCAGUAUUUAAAACCAUGGAGAACCUGAUCACUAGAAGGAAUAAUGGAAAGUACAUUGCCAUGGGAGUCUAAUAGACCUGCAUUGAUUUUUGCCACUGCGACUUAUUAGCUAUGCUAUCUUGGCCUGAUUAUUUACCUUUUUUGAAUUUCAUUUUCUUUAUCAAGUAGAUACAAUGCUACCAUCUUUGUAGGAUUUUUGUUAAUAUUAACAAGACAACAUUUGUAAAGUGCCUGAUAUUUUACCAAAGGCACCACAGGAGCUCAAAAAGUUAAAUCCUUUAAAAAGUAAAUAAUGUUCCAAAAAUGGAUUA
rnacentral:sRNA from 1 species